rnacentral:rRNA from 1 species
GCCUACGGCCAUACACCCUGAAAGCGCCCGAUCUCGUCUGAUCUCGGCAAGCUAAGCAGGGACGGGCUUGGUUAGUACCUGGAUGGGACCGCCUGGGAAUACCAGGUGUUGUAGGCU